GUGCCAGCAGCCGCGGUAAAACGUAGGAGGCGAGCGUUAUCCGGAGUUACUGGGCGUAAAGCGCGUGUAGGUGGUCUGUUGCGUCUGCUGUGAAAUGUCCCGGCUUAACCGGGAAGGUGCGGCGGAUACGGGCAGACUAGAGGGUGACAGAGGAGCGUAGAAUUCCGGGUGUAGUGGUGAAAUGCGUAGAGAUCCGGAGGAAUACCAGUGGCGCAAGCGGCGCUCUGGGUCGAGCCUGACACUGAGACGCGAAGGCAUGGGGAGCGAACGGGAUUAGAAACCCCCGUAGUCC
rnacentral:rRNA from 1 species